rnacentral:lncRNA from 1 species
AGAACAAACACCAUUGAGUCACCAGCUCCCAAGGUCCUGUGUGGUGCUUUAUUGAUGGUAGGUGUAUGGAGCUUCCUGGAACAUGUUGUUCACAAAUAAAGAUGUCUUUCUGGCCUUAAGAGAGUGUGUGAAUCCCACUGGUCUGGGAGCAUGACAUAUUGAGCCAGAGUGUUUUACUAAAGCUGCUCUCUGAAGUUGGAGAUGGCAAUUGGGUUAGGAGAUAGCCACUGGGCAAGAAAAAAAUAUUAGAAAGCGCACACACAAAAAAUCACACAAGGAUGUGUGUCUGAGUAAAGAAAGCAAAAAGCAUCUUGAAUAAAGUAAAUACAGUAAAAACAAAAAGGAAAUUGCAUUGACACAAUCACUCUGGUAUAUAAUUUGAAAAUAUUAUCAAUUUCCUAAAAAUGAAACUGAAACUAAAGCACUGAAAUAUCAAGUAGCAGUGAAUAUUUUAAUAAUAUCUGCCUCAGAAAAUGUAAAAACAUAAAAUUUUAGGCAUCGGAGCAACAGCUGAAGACUAAAUGCAAAAUGAGACGAAUUAUUUUAGAAAAGCCAAUUAAAAAGUAAAUCCAUUUUGCUGUCUACAUAACUCAUCUUCCCCAGAAAGCAUAAAUGUCAAAAUUUUAAUAAAUCCUAUUAAAACAAUUCUUCAAGUUGCCAUUUUGCUACACAGAGGGUCAUAGACAUUCCAAGCUUCUAUAUACAUAAACUCUAUCGUAGUACCCAUUGUCCUGUUGUGUAUUGCAGACUUGCCCAUGUGAGCCAUCAGACAGACAGAUUAUAAAAUGUCCCGCAGAGAAGGCAGCUCUGGUCUAACAUUCAACUCUUUAUGGUAGCUAGGAACACCUUAACAGAAGUCCCUUCUGUCAGAAGGCUACUCAAGGUGGUGGGCCCAAGGAGAUGUCCUUAUUAUUCCCUGAAAUGGU